CCUAGUACGAGAGGACCGGAGUGGACGAACCCCUGGUGUUCGGGUUGUCACGCCAGUGGCAUUGCCCGGUAGCUAUGUUCGGAAAGGAUAACCGCUGAAAGCAUCUAAGCGGGAAACCUGCCUCAAGAUGAGAUUUCCCGGGCCUUCGGGCCCCUAAAGGACCGUAGAAGACUACUACGUUGAUAGGUUGGGUGUGUAAGCGCUGUGAGGCGUUGAGCUAACCAAUACUAAUUGUCCGUGAGGCUUGAUCAU
rnacentral:rRNA from 1 species